GCUACGAGUGUACAAGCCAAGGUCACUGAGAAGUUCAUUGCCAGGAAUGCAGUAGAGACCUACCACAUCUCCCAGGUUCUGUGUGAAGCUGAACCGCUCACAGUGAAGUGGUCAGGAAUGGAUCAACUCCCCCCCCUCCCCAAUUUAGACCUGCUGGUUCUGCCCAGUGACUUUCCCCAAAGCCCAUGUGAUGAGCUGGAGUCUGCACAACAUAAGACGAGUCAUCUUCUGGGGAAAUAUAAAAUGGAAAAUAGUUUUUAAACAUCUUGACCCUUGAAGCUGGAAGCCUGUGAUCUCAGCUCAGUAGCAACAGGGAAGCCAUCAUCCAUGCUUCAGCGAGACUUCUCAGCAGUGUGGUUGCUUUGGGGUCACCGUGCUCUCAUAAGUACCCCUUCCCCAUGCUCUGUAAGUAAGCUCAGUAAAGUCACAGGUUCCUCUAGUUGAACCUCAUUUUGCCCUUUGUACUCUGGAGAGGGCAGUUUAUUGUUUAUCACUGAAAGAGUUUCCCCCUGUAGAAAUCAUGGCAGAGAGACAGAUCCUAGACCUGGAGUCACAGCAGUGGAGCGGUGAGCAAAGAGAUGAUCUCGAUGGCUGAGAGAUGCAGGGUGAACCGAUAUCUCUGUGACUCAGCUUCGAGAAGGGCAGUCUAGGAUGUGGCGGUUUGAAUGGUGGCCUUCGAAAGAUUGGCACCUUCACCCCUCAGCGCUGGAACUACAGGCUUGUGCCACUGUUCUUGGCUUUUUUCACAGGGCUCCUGGGGCUGCAGCUCCAGGCUUCAUGCUGGUGUGUGAGCACUUUACUGACUGAGCAUCUCUCUGGCUUCCCUGCCACCUUUGUGAGAUAGUCUCACUCUGUAGCCCAGGCUGGCCUAGAACUCACGAUAUAGUCUGGAUUAACCUUGAAUUUGUGGUGAGCCUUCUACCUUAGCCUCCCAAGUCCUGAGAUUACAGGCAUGAGCUACC
rnacentral:lncRNA from 1 species